CCCCUCUCAGGGUCACACCUGGAGAGUUUCCAGUGCUCUAUCAGUCACGACAACAGGAGGGAGAGUCAAGCAGAGGCCUACUCAUUCCCUUCCUAGCUUGAGAAGUGGCUAGUGAGUGGAAGGUAAUCUGCUACAAGU